CUAAUCAAUGAUACAAUUAGAACCUUAUUGAAACGAUACAGAGAAGAUUAGCAUGGCCCCUGUACAAGGAUGACAUGCACAAAUCGAGAAAUGGUAUCAAAGCAU